AUUGAACGCUGGCGGCAUGCUUUACACAUGCAAGUCGAACGGUAACAGGCCUUCGGGUGCUGACGAGUGGCGAACGGGUGAGUAAUGCAUCGGAACGUGCCCAAUCGUGGGGGAUAACGUAGCGAAAGUUACGCUAAUACCGCAUAAGCCCUGAGGGGGAAAGCAGGGGAUCGCAAGACCUUGCGCGAAUGGAGCGGCCGAUGUCAGAUUAGCUAGUUGGUGGGGUAAAGGCCUACCAAGGCGACGAUCUGUAGCGGGUCUGAGAGGAUGAUCCGCCACACUGGGACUGAGACACGGCCCAGACUCCUACGGGAGGCAGCAGUGGGGAAUUUUGGACAAUGGGCGCAAGCCUGAUCCAGCCAUGCCGCGUGCGGGACGAAGGCCUUCGGGUUGUAAACCGCUUUCAGCCGGAAAGAAAUACGCCAAGGCUAAUAUACCUUGGUGGAUGACGGUACCGGAAGAAGAAGCACCGGCUAACUACGUGCCAGCAGCCGCGGU
rnacentral:rRNA from 1 species